rnacentral:lncRNA from 1 species
CUGUUAGAGAGCACCAGUUCCUUCAGGAUCACCUGCCAGCUGUGGUGCUGUACCUUUUACAUCACGACUCUGAGAUGACACCUCUCCUUGCUGGCAGACAGGCCAGGCAACAUCUUGUGUGGUCCAUCAGCUGCUGCUCCCUGUCCAGCAGGAUCCUGUGGGCACUGCGAGGUGGGUUCCUGGCUCUGAUGGAGGCCGUGCUCAUGCGAGGUCAGAAGUGUCCCCUAUGCACUCCUAACCUGAUGAUUGAGCUGUGGGUGUCUAGAUGAAUCCUCUUGUUCUGUUCACCCAGUGUUCUGUCAGAGCUGGGGUGAGUCUGGCUGGAGGUUUCUAUGGUUUCCUGCUGGUUGCUAAGGAAAAGGAUCGCUCUGCCUCUGGGUCUUGGUGACUUUCUCUUUGCCCUGUCCUAGGCACCGGAGCCCAGCAGAACAUAAUGCUCGUUGUUUCCCAGCCCACUACAAUGGCCAGGGCAUAAUUUGUGACUCCUGUCACGGCUGGGCUGGGCGCCUGCCACUCUCUUUUUUUCUAAGGCCUCUUUGAAGAAUGAGACCAAAGAGCCUUCAAGCAGGAGUUUGUGUGUUUACUGCACUCCCCGCCCCCUCACUUGCUGUUUCCUUUAGAGCUCCAAGUCAUUUUAACGAUUUAUUUCAUGCACUUUACGUAGCAAGAAGCUGUAGCAACAGCUGUGUCUAUGAAUCCUUACCAGGCAGCCCUCAGUAUAUUUUGGUCUGUCUGUGUAUUGUCCCUGGCUCAGUUAAAUAAAUCUCUGCUGGAGGAAGGGACUUUACAGCUUAGUGGCAAAGGGCUGGCGGAUGGGAAUAUCAACAAGACACUUAGUGGGCCACUGGAUCCUGGAAUAGCAGUGCCUCUGGCACAAAGCUGCUCCCAGCAGCACAGCCGGGGGCAGAUCCAGCGCGGGCUCCUUGUUGCUGUCAGCAGGGACGGCGUCUCCAUCCAGCAGCAGUUAAAGCACGUCUGGGACAGAUGCUGCCCUUGUCACGCUGCUGUGGAUCCAGGGCUCGGCUGUGAACCGUGCUGGGCUCAUUUCCACGGGUGCCAUUUGGGAUCUGGGCAUGGAGGUGCUGCCCACGGCUGUGUGCUCUCGCAGGGAGCUCAGCUGGGGUCUGCAGAGUCCUGCAGCACCAGGCAGGAUUCAGUCCAUCACAGCAUCACAGGAUUGGGCACAAGUUUACUUUUGCAUAUGGGAUCAAAGCUUAAAAUAUCAGCUGGCCUUUCUCUCACUCCUGACUUUUCUAAAACAUCUGAACAAUUUCUUCUUUAGCUCUGUUAAAAUCAAUCAAUCUGACAUUUAAAUUGUAUGUGAAUUUGAUAAAUAAAGACAGGUUACAAAAUGCCA